AAAUUGAAGAGUUUGAUCAUGGCUCAGAUUGAACGCUGGCGGCAGGCCUAACACAUGCAAGUCGAGCGGUAGCACAGAGAGCUUGCUCUCGGGUGACGAGCGGCGGACGGGUGAGUAAUGUCUGGGAAACUGCCUGAUGGAGGGGGAUAACUACUGGAAACGGUAGCUAAUACCGCAUAAUGUCGCAAGACCAAAGUGGGGGACCUUCGGGCCUCAUGCCAUCAGAUGUGCCCAGAUGGGAUUAGCUAGUAGGUGGGGUAACGGCUCACCUAGGCGACGAUCCCUAGCUGGUCUGAGAGGAUGACCAGCCACACUGGAACUGAGACACGGUCCAGACUCCUACGGGAGGCAGCAGUGGGGAAUAUUGCACAAUGGGCGCAAGCCUGAUGCAGCCAUGCCGCGUGUGUGAAGAAGGCCUUCGGGUUGUAAAGCACUUUCAGCGGGGAGGAAGGCGAUAAGGUUAAUAACCUUGGCGAUUGACGUUACCCGCAGAAGAAGCACCGGCUAACUCCGUGCCAGCAGCCGCGGUAAUACGGAGGGUGCAAGCGUUAAUCGGAAUUACUGGGCGUAAAGCGCACGCAGGCGGUCUGUCAAGUCGGAUGUGAAAUCCCCGGGCUCAACCUGGGAACUGCAUUCGAAACUGGCAGGCUAGAGUCUUGUAGAGGGGGGUAGAAUUCCAGGUGUAGCGGUGAAAUGCGUAGAGAUCUGGAGGAAUACCGGUGGCGAAGGCGGCCCCCUGGACAAAGACUGACGCUCAGGUGCGAAAGCGUGGGGAGCAAACAGGAUUAGAUACCCUGGUAGUCCACGCCGUAAACGAUGUCGAUUUGGAGGUUGUGCCCUUGAGGCGUGGCUUCCGGAGCUAACGCGUUAAAUCGACCGCCUGGGGAGUACGGCCGCAAGGUUAAAACUCAAAUGAAUUGACGGGGGCCCGCACAAGCGGUGGAGCAUGUGGUUUAAUUCGAUGCAACGCGAAGAACCUUACCUGGUCUUGACAUCCACAGAACUUAGCAGAGAUGCUUUGGUGCCUUCGGGAACUGUGAGACAGGUGCUGCAUGGCUGUCGUCAGCUCGUGUUGUGAAAUGUUGGGUUAAGUCCCGCAACGAGCGCAACCCUUAUCCUUUGUUGCCAGCGGUCCGGCCGGGAACUCAAAGGAGACUGCCAGUGAUAAACUGGAGGAAGGUGGGGAUGACGUCAAGUCAUCAUGGCCCUUACGACCAGGGCUACACACGUGCUACAAUGGCAUAUACAAAGAGAAGCGACCUCGCGAGAGCAAGCGGACCUCAUAAAGUAUGUCGUAGUCCGGAUUGGAGUCUGCAACUCGACUCCAUGAAGUCGGAAUCGCUAGUAAUCGUAGAUCAGAAUGCUACGGUGAAUACGUUCCCGGGCCUUGUACACACCGCCCGUCACACCAUGGGAGUGGGUUGCAAAAGAAGUAGGUAGCUUAACCUUCGGGAGGGCGCUUACCACUUUGUGAUUCAUGACUGGGGUGAAGUCGUAACAAGGUAACCGUAGGGGAACCUGCGGUUGGAUCACCUCCUUA
rnacentral:rRNA from 1 species